CAGGAAGAUUUUAUAUUUCCAUUUUAGCACUUGAAACUCCAGCUCCUGCUGAAUGCUUCUGGUUUUAGAGAGUUCACAAUAUUAGGAAGAUUAACAUUCAACUAAAAGAUACUCUGGAUGGUCAUUCUACUUGUGCAUCUGACAGAUGACGAAACUGAGACACAGAGAGGUUAAGCUUCCUUCCCAAGGUCAUGUAGCUAAUAAGAGCUGGCCUCCCUCUCUACAAAGGUUAUGUAUCUUUUCUUAUACUCUACAGGAUUUUAAAGAAGUACUAUUUUUCCAUUUUAAAAUGAUUUUUAAAUGGCUUAACAAAAAAUAUGCUUUCAAGCUAUUUUUAGAAAUGACCUAUGGAAUUUAUUUAGCACACGAUUAGAAUAAGCCGCAAAAUACAUCCAUUCAUGAUUUGAAAAA